GUUUCACAUUCAUGAAUGAUCAUACACUACAGUUGGAACACUACAGAGAUUAGCACGGCCCCCGCACAAGGAUGACACGCACAUUUGUAAAGCAUUGCGUAUUAAA
ensembl:snRNA U6 U6 spliceosomal RNA